UGGUCUUAAAUAAUCUUUAGUUUAUAUUAUCAUUAUUAUUAUCAUUAUUAUUCAUUAUUACAUAUGUAAUGUUAAGUAAAUUUUGCUGCUAAUUCUUUCAGAUAAAUGUUUAAUGUUUUACUUUUACAUUUUAAUGUGAUGGGAGUAUAGUUGCCCUCAGUUUCCAGUAAGGAAGGAUAGUGGACAUAGUGUCCAACACUAUAUUGCAUUAUUAUAACAAGGUGUUUCUAUCAUUGUCAUUGUUUACCCCUUUUAUAUCAGUGAGGGCUAAAUAACAUAAAUACCUCAAUGCAAACUACAUCAUCCAAACAGACCUGAAACAGACGAAUUUGAUGCAGGAUUGUAAUGUUAGACUCCAUCACCUUCAGCCAGGUGUAAUAAACUGGCAGCUGAGUGCAUACUGUGGGUCUGAAUUCCUUCUCCGAUACGUGCCCCCUCACUCGUGCAGCUUCCAUGUCAGCACAGUGACAGCACCCAAAACGCCACAGGGGCACGCAGUCGAGGCGUUUCUCCAAACCAGCCGGUUCACGAAGAUAAUCAGCCUCUGCAGCACGUCUCCGGUGAGUGACUGGUGGAGCCGCGCGGCGUGUAGGAGAGACCCGUCUGGAUCUGGCUGUUGGUGAAGUGUGCGUCUGUGCGCUUGCAGGGCGGCGCGGGGAGAAGGGUGGACAGCUGCCGUCUCUCCAUGGUCGUCUGUAUGAAAGAGUACAUAUUGCACGUCACUCGCAAAGGUAACAGAUAUGGCAGUAUGUCGCUGCCAUCUGUCACUGGAGCUUCACACGUCCGCUCAGACAAAAGGAGGAGCGGGCCUCGGCGGCGGCAGCAAGGCCCCAGCCCUGCUAUUGUUCUUCAGGCUGGUGGGUGAAUGUCGGGCCCCUGAUCGUCAGGCCCUGCUGGAGUGAUGCAGUCUGGCCAACGGCAGCAUUGUUCACCACACACACUCACCCAUAAGGGACAUUUAGGUUAAGCGUAACUGAAAUAAUUCAGAAUUGAAAGCAAUAAAUUCCCCAAAACUUA